rnacentral:rRNA from 1 species
UACGUAGGGUCCGAGCGUUGUCCGGAAUUAUUGGGCGUAAAGAGCUCGUAGGCGGUUUGUCGCGUCUGCUGUGAAAGACCGGGGCUCAACUCCGGUUCUGCAGUGGGUACGGGCAGACUAGAGUGAUGUAGGGGAGACUGGAAUUCCUGGUGUAGCGGUGAAAUGCGCAGAUAUCAGGAGGAACACCGAUGGCGAAGGCAGGUCUCUGGGCAUUAACUGACGCUGAGGAGCGAAAGCAUGGGGAGCGAACAGG